ACGGAGGGUGCAAGCGUUAAUCGGAAUUACUGGGCGUAAAGCGCGCGUAGGCGGUCGGGUCAGUCGGAUGUGAAAGCCCUGGGCUUAACCUAGGAAUUGCAUUCGAUACUGCUCGACUAGAGUAUGGGAGAGGGAAGUGGAAUUUCCGGUGUAGCGGUGAAAUGCGUAGAUAUCGGAAGGAACACCAGUGGCGAAGGCGACUUCCUGGCCCAAUACUGACGCUCAGGUGCGAAAGCGUGGGUAGCAAACAGG
rnacentral:rRNA from 1 species